CAGACACAGAGGGUUGUCUCAGAGCCAAAGGAGUCUCAUGCUGGAGAGGCUAGAUUUUGAAUCACUUCCCAAGUCUGAUAAGGGUUUAUUCAUUGGAGUAAGCCACUUGCCUGCCUUUCUGGAUUGCUGCUAAGGUUGGCUGACAAAUUGGACAUGCAUUGGCAGAUGGAGCAAUAGAUAGGAUGAAGAGGGGUUGGCAUCACUGAGCAGUCUGGGCUUCCUGUAUCUCUACCUACCUUCUCUGUCCCUAGACGUCAAAUGUUCUAGACAUGGCACCUGGACCUAGGACUGGAAGACCAGGAAGAUGGCAUACAAUGCAUGUCCGCAUUGCAUGGCAGAUCCACCACCAUAAGCUGAGAGUGAAGCAGAAGAUGCAAGUGGACUCACAUGCAAUCAGCUUCGGUAUCAAGCCGGAGUUACUGACUCAGCCUCCUGGUCCUGACCUGAUUCAAGCCAUCCACCAUCAGCGGGACCUUAUUCAGUCCUCCACCCCACUCUCUAACCCAGAGAGAAAUGACUCAACAUAGCAUUUUCCCAUUGUUCUCCUGCUCCGGAGUCACACAGUUUGGGGACACUGAGUGUCACAGCCUUUGGUGGCAUGGCAAACCUAGCACUAAACUAUCCCACAGACAAUACAAAUGCACCAAGUGGAGAAGUAGGAGGAACUCCUGAGUGGUGGAGCAGGCAGCAGAAGACACCCCCUAAGAGACCCACCGUGGGAUGUAUACAGAGGUAUGGACCUCCCUGUCUCCUCCUGUCAAGAGCUGGUCAUGAGGGCUGAUCCUCUACAUGGUGUGGUGGGGGCCAGGCUGUUGGAGGCAGCAGAAUGGUCAUACAGAGACCCUCAUCACAGCUUUCCACACCCACCCCAUCACCCCUGAAGCAGCAGUGGAGGGCUUACCUCAUGGAGAGGGACCGUCUGCACAUGCUCAGAGAGGAAUACUACCAGCACAGCCUCCAUUCUGCCACCUUGGGCGGCCAUCUCCCCUAUCCCAGCCUCCUGACCUCCACCUAUUCCGGGUCACAUAUCUCCAAGGUGGGUCUCACAGAGCCCCCAGAGUAGCCUCCCCAACAAAACUCUUCCCCCUGGGUCCUUAAGCACACUGCCGCCUCUGGUCCCCUUGUCUGGCGCUCCCCACAGGACUGCCUCUUAAUGACAGAAAUCAGAAGACCCUACUCUGUGUGCUUGCUUGCCUUAGAACUG